CGAAUAUCUCUAUCUAUUUUUAUCUUCAUCUAAUAAUACAUUUACUGGUAUUCAGUAGUGCAUUCAUAACAUUUGAUGAUCCUUUUUGCGAAUAAUAAACUUUUGGAAAAAUACACAAAUGGAAGACCAAUGAAAUUAUGUAAAUGUUGAACUUGGUGAGAAGGUAAGAAAAAAUCUAUUGGAAUUGGAACAAAACCAUAGCAGUGAUUAUGUUCUUCUUGCUAACAUGUAUGCGAGCACGUGUCAGUGGAAUGAAAUGAGCAAACAGAUAAGAUCAAUGCAAGAAAAGAGCGUUCGGAAACCAGAGCCUCGAUACAUUUCUUCUGUAUCUGGAUCCUUACACUAGUAUAUAUUUUUUUUAUCUUAUUAUAUUCUUUGAUUCAGAGUUGUCUGUCAUCUCUACCGGGUUUCACACAAAACAUAUUUGCUCAUGGCGACAACUUGAAAAAAUACAAGGAAACAAAUUUUGAUUAAGCAAAAAAUAAAUAAGUAAAGUAUUACCUAAAUAAAUACCAUGUGAUCAAAUUCUAGAUUAGGAAUUUUUCAGCCUCAAUACAUUUAGUCUUUAUAAGUAGAAUCUUAUUAAAGUUAUGAAGCAUCAACUUUUUGAUAUCAUUUGGAUAUAUUGGAUGGAAUUUGGAACUUAUUAGAAUUAAAUAUCGUGUAACAGUAGUGAAGUUUAUACCAAUUUUAUACAGUUUAGGGGAGGAUUUGUCUGUGGCUUGGUGUCAAGACAAUAAUUAGCAACAAGACUAGUAAAUAAGCACUUUAAACAUUUUGCAAGUGUAUUAGGUUGGAGAAAUUCUGUUAAAAAAAUGAUGGUAUUAUGGUUUGCUUGUGAAUGGCACAUUUGGAAAAUAAGAAAUAAGAUAUUGUUCUAAGAAUAUUUAAACUUUGUUUAAUGUCUCUGCUAUAUUAAAGUUUCUCUUAUGCAGUGACGGCUCGAGAAGAUUGGAGGACCAUGUUAGCUUGUCAAUUAGAAGUAGCAUAUUUGAUGAUAGUGUUGUUGCAAGUGGAAAAUUGAAAGUGGGGACUCUAAGAAGGAAAAUGUGGGGAAAUUCUCAUCUAGAGGACUCUAUAAAAUUCAACCAUCACUACUCAAGGUUCCUGAGUUGGAAUUUGGAAGAGAAUGAACCAAGUCUGAGGCACAUUUGACUUCUGCUGCUGCUGUUGUGGAAUGUGGAAUUCAAGAUGCUUAUGAUUAUUCUUGCAAUAUAUGCCUUGAAUCCUUCAGUGACAGUGGCCAUUCUACAAUAUAGUUCUUUAGAUUUUUUAAAUUUUGUCGGGUCUUAUGGUUGGUAGUGAUCACUGUAGUGUUGUUGUGUUUGUCUAUUCUCAUUUUGUUACCUUUCCUUUAGGUGACAAGUUGCAAGCAUUGAGAUA